UCUUAAAGACUGUUCUCAGUUCGGACUGCAGUCUGCAACUCGACUGCACGAAGCUGGAAUCGCUAGUAAUCGCGGAUCAGCACGCCGCGGUGAAUACGUUCCCGGGCCUUGUACACACCGCCCGUCACACCAUGGAAGUCUGCAAUGCCCGAAGCCGGUGGCCUAACCACUUAUGUGGAAGGAGCCGUCUAAGGCAGGGCAGAUGACUGGGGUGAAGUCGUAACAAGGUAGC
rnacentral:rRNA from 1 species